UUGCACGCUGGCGGCAUGCCUUACACCUGCAAGGCGAACGGCAGCACGGGUGCUUGCCCCUGGUGGCGAGUGGCGAACGGGGGAGUAAUACAUCGGAACAUGUCCUGUAGUGGGGGAUAGCCCGGCGAAAGCCGGAUUAAUACCGCAUACGAGCUACGGAUGAAAGCGGGGGACCUUCGGGCCUCGCGCUAUAGGGUUGGCCGAUGGCUGAUUAGCUAGUUGGUGGGGUAAAGGCCUACCAAGGCGACGAUCAGUAGCGGGUCUGAGGGGACGACCAGCCACACUGGGACUGAGACACGGCCCAGACUCCUACGGGAGGCAGCAGUGGGGAAUUUUGGACAAUGGGCGAAAGCCUGAUCCAGCAAUGCCGCGUGUGUGACGAAGGCCUUCGGGUUGUAAAGCACUUUUGUCCGGAAAGAAAUCCUUGGCCCUAAUACGGUCGGGGGGAUGACGGUACCGGAAGAAUAAGCACCGGCUAACUACGUG
rnacentral:rRNA from 1 species